rnacentral:rRNA from 1 species
ACCUACGGGGGGCAGCAGUAGGGAAUAUUGCUCAAUGGGGGAAACCCUGAAGCAGCGACGCCGCGUGGAGGAAGACGGUCUUCUGGAUUGUAAACCACUGUCCCCAGGGACGAAAAUGACGGUACCUGGGGAGGAAGCUCCGGCUAACUACGCGCCAGCAGCCGCGGUAAUACGUAGGGAGCAAGCGUUGUCCGGAAUUACUGGGUGUAAAGGGAGCGUAGGCGGGGAUGCAAGUUGGGUGUCAAAACUACCGGCUCAACCGAUAGUCGCACUCAAAACUGCAGCUCUUGAGUGAAGUAGAGGCG